GGCUCAGUAACACGUAGUCAACAUGCCCAGGGGACGUGGAUAAUCUCGGGAAACUGAGAAUAAACCACGAUAGGUCACGAUUUCUGGAAUGGAUCUUGGCUUAAAUCUACAUGGCCCCUGGAUUGGACUGCGGCCGAUCAGGCUGUUGGUGAGGCAAUGGCCCACCAAACCUAUAACCGGUACGGGCUCUGAGAGGAGGAGCCCGGAGAUGGGCACUGAGACAAGGGCCCAGGCCCUAUGGGGCGCAGCAGGCGCGAAACCUCUGCAAUAGGCGAAAGCCUGACAGGGUUACUCUGAGUGAUUUCCGCUAAGGGGAUCUUUUGGCACCUCUAAAAAUGGUGCAGAAUAAGGGGUGGGCAAGUCUGGUGUCAGCCGCCGCGGUAAUACCAGCACCCCGAGUGGUCGGGACGAUUAUUGGGCCUAAAGCAUCCGUAGCCGGUUCUGCAAGUCUUCCGUUAAAUCCAGCCGCUCAACGGCUGGGCUGCGGAGGAUACUACAGGACUAGGAGGCGGGAGAGGCAAGCGGUACUCAGUGGGUAGGGGUAAAAUCCUUUGAUCCAUUGAAGACCACCAGUGGCGAAGGCGGCUUGCCAGAACGCGCUCGACGGUGAGGGAUGAAAGCUGGGGGAGCAAACCGGAUUAGAUACCCGGGUAGUCCCAGCUGUAAACGAUGCAGACUCGGUGAUGGGCUAGCCUUGUGCCAGCCCAAUGCCGCAGGGAAGCCGUUA
rnacentral:rRNA from 1 species